CCAACACUUCCAAUCGGAUCGU
rnacentral:miRNA from 14 species